GACGAACGCUGGCGGCGUGCUUUACGCAUGCAAGUCGAACGGUGAAGGUGGAGCUUGCUCCGCCGGAUCAGUGGCGAACGGGUGAGUAACACGUGGGCAACCUGCCCCUAACUUUGGGAUAACUACUCGAAAGAGUAGCUAAUACCGGAUACGAAGUCUGUAGGCAUCUACGGAUUUGGAAAGUUUUUCGGUUAGGGAUGGGCCCGCGGCCUAUCAGCUUGUUGGUGAGGUAGUGGCUCACCAAGGCGACGACGGGUAGCCGGCCGGAGAGGGCGACCGGCCACACUGGGACUGAGACACGGCCCAGACUCCUACGGGAGGCAGCAGUGGGGAAUGUUGCGCAAUGGGCGAAAGCCUGACGCAGCAACGCCGCGUGCGGGAUGAAGGCCUUCGGGUUGUAAACCGCUUUCAGCGGGGAAGAAGCGAAAGUGACGGUACCUGCAGAAGAAGCACCGGCUAACUACGUGCCAGCCGCCGCGGUAA
rnacentral:rRNA from 1 species